rnacentral:lncRNA from 1 species
CAUAGCCCUCAGAUUACUCUUGUUGUCUUCCAAGAAUCUCAGACUGAGUAUGCAGUGAAUGAAUGGCUUACCAUAAAGCAGCACCACCUAACAAAUCCAAAAGAGAACAAGGCUUUGGGGCAGUGAUAUGCAUGAAAGAAAAAAACGUCUGUUAUAAAAAUGAACAUUUAAGGGAAGCAAAUAAGAACUUCUAUACAUGGUACAUAGUCAAGUAGAGAUUUCCUUGGAAUACACCCCAAAAAUAAGAUAGCCAAAUUGUGUCUGCUU